GGGCCCUUAGCUCAGUGGUCAGAGCGCUCGGCUCAUAACCGAGUGGUCGCCGGUUCGAACCCGGCAGGGCCCA
rnacentral:tRNA from 1 species